GGCGGGGUAACGGCCCACCAAGGCGAAGAUCGGUAUCCGGCCUGAGAGGGCGCACGGACACACUGGAACUGAAACACGGUCCAGACUCCUACGGGAGGCAGCAGUGGGGAAUUUUGCGCAAUGGGGGAAACCCUGACGCAGCAACGCCGCGUGGAGGAUGAAGUCCCUUGGGACGUAAACUCCUUUCGACCAAGACGAUAAUGACGGUACUGGUGGAAGAAGCACCGGCUAACUCUGUGCCAGCAGCCGCGGUAAUACAGAGGGUGCAAGCGUUGUUC
rnacentral:rRNA from 1 species